rnacentral:lncRNA from 1 species
CACCAGGAUCCGGCAGUAGUCCCGUUGCACGACGUUCCGAUGGUCCGGGGCAAAAGCGCAGGGGAAGAGCAGCAGCGGUGUGGCCGGUCUUAGGCAGCGAGAAGGUGCAGGCAGGUACCGAGUAGGUCCAGGAAGAAGUCUGGGCGGAAGCAGCAGGUCUCCGGUAGCAGGCCCUGGAGAGUCAGUCAGCAUGCAGGCCUUUUGUAGUGAGGGAUCUGAUGGCAGACACCUUCUCGGAGGGGUGAGCAGCAGCAGAGAGGCCAUCCUUAGGCAGCAAGCAGGUAGAGCACAGAGCGAAGUCCGGGAGGGAGAGGCAGGUCGUGUGGAAUCUGUUAUCAGAAUCCUGACUUCAUGGUUGUUGGACCCUCUUUUAUCCUCCUCCUUCCCUGCCUACGUGACAUUUCUGGGCGCUUGGUCAUGUGAGCCCCCCCUGAGAUGGCUGUCUCCCUUGAGAUAAGUCCACACAAAAGACUGUUUCCUGGCCAUUUAGCUGCCACUUACCCUCUCUCGUUGCCCCAGGCGUUGUCCAUCUGUUGUCCCUUCAGGACGAAGGUUUUCUUAAUCCUUGGUCAGGACUUGCUUGACCUUGUUCAUCUGUGUCCCUCAGCAAGCUUUGAGGCAACGGCGUAAAAGAAUGACCUCUUACAGUUCCUUUAUCCUGUUGAAAGACAUACUCUUCCUGAUCUUCUGGUGUCUUACUUGUCUUGCAUGAAUUAUAAAAGAUUACUGUUUAGAAUCUGCAGUUGCCUCAGCCUGCUCCAAGUCAUGUAGAGUACAUUUCAACAGGAAUAAGUCAACUUAAACUUAAAAAGAGAAAGAAGAACACCAAGCAUAAAAAUUCUGUUGCCCACAUUAUUUAUUGCUCAGCUCUCACACUCUGAAGUGAUUCAGACCUGCACUGAGUUUCUUGAAGCCUCUUCUAGAGUUAAUGAAUGCUUUCCAACUUCGUAUGCAAAGGUAAACGCAUCCAUGUCUGCAUCCUCAAGAAGUGUGCUCUGACUUUAGGAAACUCCACUACUCGGGUCUGUCAAACCUGCAGCCUGGCUGGCAAAGUGCAGCUGCCGAGAAAGAGGCAGUUAAUGCCAUUCUGAAUGACCGAGGGAGAGAUGUGGAGCUGUGGAGCAUCUUCUCAUCUAUCUUGCCAGGUCUGGACAGAGAAGUGACUGCUUUGGUCAGCAGUAGCUUUCAUCCUGUGCAGCGCUGCUUACCUGCUUAUAUGACACUCGAACACAGCCAGCUGAUGGUUGUAGCAAGUCUACCUCCUGCUGGGCAGAGUUCCCCUCUGUCUGAAGUACAAGAGCAGAGCGUAUUGCAACUGUGAAAAUGUCACCAAAUUACAGCAAG